GAUGAACGCUAGCGGCAGGCUUAAUACAUGCAAGUCGAGGGGCAGCAUGAAUGUAGCAAUACAUUUGAUGGCGACCGGCAAACGGGUGCGGAACACAUACACAACCUUCCUAUAAGUGGGGAAUAGCCCAGAGAAAUUUGGAUUAAUACCCCGUAACAUAAUGGUGUGGCAUCACAUUAUUAUUAUAGCUACGGCGCUUAUUGAUGGGUGUGCGGCUGAUUAGAUAGUUGGCGGGGUAACGGCCCACCAAGUCUACGAUCAGUAGCUGAUGUGAGAGCAUGGUCAGGCACACGGGCACUGAGACACGGGCCCGACUCCUACGGGAGGCAGCAGUAAGGAAGAUUGGUCAAUGGACGCAAGUCUGAACCAGCCAUGCCGCGUGAAGGAUUAAGGUCCUCUGGAUUGUAAACUUCUUUUAUCUGGGACGAAAAAAGGCUAUUCUUAGUCACUUGACGGUACCAGAUGAAUAAGCACCGGCUAACUCCGUGCCAGCCGCCGCAGUAAUAC
rnacentral:rRNA from 1 species